rnacentral:ncRNA from 1 species
CCGAAGGGCUUGCUCUUCGGGGUUGUGGAUCAGCAAUAAGGACGGAAGACCUUAGCAGAAGAGGAUUGGAAAGUCCCGCCAGAGAGGGUAAAAGCCCCUUACGCGAAAAGGUCAAACGACGAGCUGACACCAGAGUACCGCAGGACACGAGAAAUCCGGUGGGAAGCCGGGAGGACCACCUCCCAAGCCUAAAUACGAAUUGGUGACCGAUAGCGCAUAGUACCGUGAGGGAAAGGUGAAAAGAACCCCGGGAGGGGAGUGAAAAAGAACCUGAAACCCUGUGUUUACAAGCAGUGAAAGUGCGAGCAAGGCACGAUCACGUACUUUUUGUAGAACGGACCGGCGAGUUACGUUAUGCAGCAAGGUUAAGAACUGAAGGUUCGGAGCCGAAGCGAAAGCGAGUCUGAAUAGGGCGAUAGUUGCAUGACGUAGACCCGAAACCGGGUGACCUAUCCAUGAGCAGGUUGAAGUGGAGGUAAAGCUCCAUGGAGGACCGAACCAGACGUCUGUUGAAAAAGGCGGGGAUGACUUGUGGAUAGGGGAGAAAUUCCAAUCGAACCCGGAGAUAGCUGGUUCUCCUCGAAAUAGCUUUAGGGCUAGCCUCAUGGAUCAUUGAUGGGGGUAGAGCACUGAAUGUGCGCGGGGGCCACAAAGCCUACCAAACGCUAUCAAACUUCGAAUACCAUACAAUGCAGACCAUGGGAGUCAGUCCGCGAGAGAUAAGUUCCGCGGGCAAAAGGGGAACACCCCAGAUCAACCGCUAAGGUCCCCAAGUUCACGUUAAGUGGAGAAGGAUGUGGAAUUGCACAGACAACCAGGAUGUUGGCUCAGAAGCAGCCACACAUUUAAAGAGUGCGUAAUAGCUCACUGGUCGAGUGAUUGUGCGCCGAAGAUGUCCGGGGCUAAACGUGACACCGAAGCGAUGGGUGCAUCUGAAGAAGAUGCGCGGUAGAGGAGCAAUGUGCAGAGGCAGAAGCCGUAUCGAGAGGCACGGUGGACACUGCACAAGAGAGAAUGCCGGUAUGAGUAGCGAGAGGCAUGCGAGAAACAUGCCCGUCGAAAGCCCAAGGUUUCCUGGGGAAGGUUCAUCCGCCCAGGGUAAGUCGGGGCCUAAGCCGAGGACGGAAGUCGUAGGCGAUGGACAGCAGGUGUAGAUUCCUGCACUACCGAUGGAAUGAAGCAGUGACACAGAAGGAUAACUCGAG